rnacentral:rRNA from 1 species
UACGUAGGGGGCAAGCGUUGUCCGGAUUUAUUGGGCGUAAAGAGCUCGUAGGCGGUUUGUCGCGUCUGCUGUGAAAACUCGGGGCUUAACUCCGGGCCUGCAGUGGGUACGGGCAGACUAGAGUGCGGUAGGGGAGACUGGAAUUCCUGGUGUAGCGGUGAAAUGCGCAGAUAUCAGGAGGAACACCGGUGGCGAAGGCGGGUCUCUGGGCCGUAACUGACGCUGAGGAGCGAAAGCGUGGGGAGCGAGCAGG